CUUCCAGCUCUUUCACACCAUUUCUGUUGGACUCUGUUGGACUCUGUUGGACUCGGUUGUUCCAAAGCUCUAUUUUUAACAGCAGGCAUGGACGCUGUGUGUUCCUACGAGGCUGCUGGAGCUGAUUGAGGCCACUCAGUACAACACUGAUGAUUCCAGCAGACAUGCCACAGCACAUUUCAGAAGCAUCCCUGAAGCAUCUCUUUGCUCCGCACCACUAAAAAUAACUCUGGAUCUGUUUUUUACAGAAGCUCCAUCAAGCUGCAGACAACAGAGGAAAAUGUGCAGCACAGAAGAAACAGCAAAGGAAAUCCUGUCAGUGUUGAAAAUAGAAGAGCCUGUGCAGACCAACAUGUUUCUCUUCUAAAAUACACCAGGUGUGGUUUGAAGGACGCAACAAAACCACAUCAGAAAGACAUCAGAGACUCAUCACAUCACUCGCUGGAUUCACUGGAUUAUUUUUCUUUCACCAUUAUUUGGAACAAAGAAAACAAACGUGACUGGUUUGUGUCAUUGUGGUGCUGCAUGGCCCACUUUCUCCUGAGAUUCAGUUCACAGACAGAUGUUCUGAUAGUUUUCUUUACAAUUUGCUGCUAGAAUUCAAAAUUGAUUGUGUGAUUAAUGAUGGUGAGCCAGAUGGGCCAAACCAUGAUCCUAUCAGCAGCAUGUUUCAUUGUAGUGGUGCAUCAUUGAUGGGAUAAAUGGACUGGUGCUUAUAUAGUGAUUUUCUAUUUUCAUGUGGACUAAAGUAGUGGACUGACCAACAGACUGACAUUAACAUCAGAGCCGUGCUGCUAGUGUGGCUAAAAGAAAAGAGAAGAAGAGACAGUCAUGUUGAUAUGAACAUUAGAGAAACACAUCAUGGAGCUGAAAUAUGAUCCUGCUUCCUCAUUUGGACUCAUUCACCUCAGCUGACACGUUCAACAGCAGACAGGUUUUUGUAGCAGUCUGUCUCACUGUGAGAGGGAUACUACCUCAUCUUUGGCUCUGGAACUAAACUGUCUGUAACAGAUGAGCAGGUAGUGAAGCCCGUGGUGAGCGUGUACCCAGCAGCAUCCAGAGCCCACCUGGAGGGGAACAGCUCCCUGCUGUGUGUGGCCUCAGCCAUGUUUCCUCCUCUGGUCCAGUUCUCCUGGAAAAGACAGAAGAAGAACGGCGGAGAAGCGGAGGAGCUGCCCCCUGCUGAGGGAGAGCAGCUGGAGCUCAGAGAGGCGGGACGCACCAUUGCCAUCAGGAUGCUUGAUGGGAGCCAUUCUGACACAUAUAAAUACAGCUGCUGGGUGAAGCACGAGGGGGGCACAGUGGAGGCCCGAACACAACAAGGUAAUGAAGGCUUGGUGACUGUGUUCAGCAGUGAUUCAGCUUCAUGUGGAGAUGCUGUCAAAGAGAGCAGAGCAGCAGAGGACUGACAUUUCUCACUGCAGCUCCAAACAUUUGACUCCUUUUCUGUUUCAGAGCUUCCAGCUCCAGCAGCCUCCUGUCCUCCAGAGAGAGAGCCAGCAGACCUGCCAGCUCUGCAGCCAGCUGACUUGUCCUUCCAGUCUCAGUGCAGGGUGAAGCUGCUCUGCCUGCUGUACACAGUGCUGGUGUACUGCUGUGGACUCUCUCUGCUGAUGAUGCUCACAAACAAGGGAGCGUCCACCAACUGCACACAUGCUGACUGACUGUUUCCUGCUCGCCUUUUCUCACCAUCACAUCUCAUCAAUUCAUCUCAUUCAUCACUUUGAUCACAAAUGUUAGUUAUGAUGUGUUGAGCUUAUUUUGCCUUUUUCUUCAACAGUUAGAAGAUCGUCUGAAAUAAAUACAUCUUUACAUGUAUUGUUGCUCUGAGUUAGAAUUCUUUUUGUGCUUAUUGUGACUUUUAUUGUAGUAACAAAAACCAUCAGGAAUAUUUUUAUCACAAGUUUUCACUUUUUGUUUGAUUUUCAAAUGUCAAACAGUGUAGUUGUGUUUGUGUGAACAAUAAAGAUUUGAAGAUGAA
ensembl:lncRNA